AUAAUUUUAAGUUAAUGACUCUUAAUUUUCAAAAUUAAAAGAAUAUAUAAGUAAAUAAAUAUAUAAAUUAUG
rnacentral:tRNA from 1 species